GACGAACGCUGGCGGCGUGCCUAAUACAUGCAAGUCGAACGAGAGCGACCGGUGCUUGCACUGGUCAAUCUAGUGGCGAACGGGUGAGUAACACGUGGGUAACCUGCUCAUCAGAGGGGGAUAACAUCCGGAAACGGAUGCUAAAACCGCAUAGGUCUUCGAGCCGCAUGGCUUGAAGAGGAAAAGAGGCGCAAGCUUCUGCUGAUGGAUGGACCCGCGGUGCAUUAGCUAGUUGGUGAGGUAACGGCUCACCAAGGCCGUGAUGCAUAGCCGACCUGAGAGGGUGAUCGGCCACGUUGGGACUGAGACACGGCCCAAACUCCUACGGGAGGCAGCAGUAGGGAAUCUUCCGCAAUGGACGCAAGUCUGACGGAGCAACGCCGCGUGAGUGAAGAAGGUUUUCGGAUCGUAAAACUCUGUUGUUAGAGAAGAACAAGUGCUAGAGUAACUGUUAGCGCCUUGACGGUAUCUAACCAGAAAGCCACGGCUAACUACGUG
rnacentral:rRNA from 1 species